AUUGAACGCUGGCGGCAGGCCUAACACAUGCAAGUCGAACGAGUGGCGGACGGGUGAGUAAUGUCUGGGAAACUGCCCGAUGGAGGGGGAUAACUACUGGAAACGGUAGCUAAUACCGCAUACCAUCGGAUGUGCCCAGAUGGGAUUAGCUAUUAGGUGGGGUAAAGGAUCACCUAGGCGACGCACCCUAGCUGGUCUGAGAGGAUGAACAGACACACUGGAACGGAGACACGGGCCAGACUCCUACGGGAGGCAGCAGUGGGGAAUAUUGCACAAUGGGCGCAAGCCGGAUGCAGCCAUGCCGCGUGUAUGAAGAAGGCCUUCGGGUUGUAAAGUACUUUCAGCGAGGAGGCGUUACUCGCAGAAGAAGCACCGGCUAACUCCGUGCCAGCAGCCGCGGUAAUAC
rnacentral:rRNA from 1 species